rnacentral:rRNA from 1 species
CCCUACGGGGCGCAGCAGGCGCGAAACCUUUACAAUGCGGGCAACCGUGAUAAGGGAACCUCGAGUGCCUGUAAACGCAGGCUGUUCAGGUGUUUAAAACGCACCUGGAGAAAGGGCCGGGCAAGACCGGUGCCAGCCGCCGCGGUAAUACCGGCGGCUCGAGUGGUGGCCGCUUUUAUUGGGCUUAAAGCGUUCGUAGCUGGGUUGUUAAGUCUCUUGGGAAAUCUGGCGG